UGGGAAUUAGCCAAGUUGGUAAGGCAUAGCACUUUGACUGCUAGAUGCAAAGGUUCGAGUCCUUUAUUCCCAG
rnacentral:ncRNA from 16 species